GGUUCGCAACUCCAUUCUCCAGGAAUGUUUGUUUGGAAAGCUGCUAUGUGAAGAUCCCAAAAUGUUCGAGGCCAGGAAAGAAAAACCUCCAGACGGGUACACAGGCCUGAGGCCUAGUCGACAGGCUGCACCCAUGGGGCCGACAUGAAUUGGAUCUCGCUGGUCACUUGAAGAUUCAAAGAGAGAAACUUUAGGAUCAGGAGACCUUUGAACAAGAGCUU